ensembl:lncRNA
AUCACUUCUCUUGGAGCCCUUCUGCGAGCAUAGGAUAUGGGCGUGGGGCCUCCAAAAAAGAAGGACAUGGAGCUGCUGGAGUGAGUCUAUAGGAAGGUCUCCAAGAGCAGCUAGCAGAAUACAAGACCCUCCAAGGACUGAAAUUCAGUAUGUUAUAAAGCCUGUGAGCCAAGACCACAUCCAUCACCAUGGAUGUAAAGAAAAUGAAGAAAAAUCAAGAAAAAAGAAAGAAUAGCAACAAUUUUGGACUUUUCAGUGAAGCUACACAUCUUCCUGAAAAUUCUACUCACCUUCAACGCAGACUUCCAUUUCAGAAACCAUUCUGAGGUUUGGAUCUUCUUGACAUAAUUUCAGCAGAUCUUCCUGUGUGCAUCUUCAGGCUUUGGACAAGCAUGGGUCUUUUCUUGCUUUGAGAACCUCAUCCUCCUUACAGAAGUGCUGACCGAGUGCAGUUCGGUGUACUCUUUACAGCAGGAG